UUUGAGAAAAAUCUGCAACCUCAGACACUGGAUGAGAAGCUAGAGAGCCAGACCAUUAUAUAUUUUCAACUCUACAGUUUUUUCAAUACAUAAUUGGGGAGUUUAGAAGCACCCUGAUGGCUUGGAAUGGCCCAAGAGCCUCCCCCAGCCCUAGCCCUAGCCCUGUGUGAAGGAAGGGACGCUGGACCACUGAGCCCAAGCUGAAGAAAGGUGUUACCCACACAGACAAGGGGGAAAGAGCCUUCUAGGCCAAGGAGGAGGAACAGCAGGAGCUAAAAGAAGGAGCCAUUAAGUAUCUGGCUGGGUCCAGGAAACUGCAGGGAAUGACCGUCCAAGGUAAGGACCAGUCAAGCCCAUUACUUCCUGGGUCUGCCGCAGGACGGCAUCCUAUCCUGGGGGUACGUAGUGGCGGUCCUAGUAACCAGUC